rnacentral:rRNA from 1 species
CCUACGGGUGGCAGCAGUGAGGAAUAUUGGUCAAUGGCCGGAAGGCUGAACCAGCCAAGCCGCGUGAAGGACGAAGGUGCCAAGCAUUGUAAACUUCUUUUGUCAAGGGACAAAAUCAGGCUCGAGAGCCUGACCGAGGGUACUUGAAGAAAAAGCAUCGGCUAACUCCGUGCCAGCAGCCGCGGUGAGACGGGGGAUGAGAGCGUUAUCCGGAUUUAUUGGGUUGAAAGGGUGCGUAGGCGGACCGUUAAGUCAGCGGUAAAAGCCCGGGGCUCAACCCCGGCGAGCCGUUGAAACUGGCGGUCUUGAGAUGUCGAGAGGUAUGCGGAACGCGCAGUGUAGCGGUGAAAUGCUUAGAUAUUGCGCAGAACUCCGAUUGCGAAGGCAGCAUACCGGCGGCGAUCUGACGCUGAGGCACGAAAGCGUGGGUAUCGAACAGGAUUAGAUACCCUGGUAGUC